rnacentral:rRNA from 1 species
ACAGGCUUAACACAUGCAAGUCGAGGGGCAGCAUGGUCUUAGCUUGCUAAGGCUGAUGGCGACCGGCGCACGGGUGAGUAACACGUAUCCAACCUGCCGUCUACUCUUGGCCAGCCUUCUGAAAGGAAGAUUAAUCCAGGAUGGCAUCAUGAGUUCACAUGUCCGCAUGAUUAAAGGUAUUUUCCGGUAGACGAUGGGGAUGCGUUCCAUUAGAUAGUAGGCGGGGUAACGGCCCACCUAGUCAACGAUGGAUAGGGGUUCUGAGAGGAAGGUCCCCCACAUUGGAACUGAGACACGGUCCAAACUCCUACGGGAGGCAGCAGUGAGGAAUAUUGGUCAAUGGGCGAUGGCCUGAACCAGCCAAGUAGCGUGAAGGAUGACUGCCCUAUGGGUUGUAAACUUCUUUUAUAAAGGAAUAAAGUCGGGUAUGCAUACCCGUUUGCAUGUACUUUAUGAAUAAGGAUCGGCUAACUCCGUGCCAGCAGCCGCGGUAAUACGGAGGAUCCGAGCGUUAUCCGGAUUUAUUGGGUUUAAAGGGAGCGUAGAUGGAUGUUUAAGUCAGUUGUGAAAGUUUGCGGCUCAACCGUAAAAUUGCAGUUGAUACUGGAUGUCUUGAGUGCAGUUGAGGCAGGCGGAAUUCGUGGUGUAGCGGUGAAAUGCUUAGAUAUCACGAAGAACUCCGAUUGCGAAGGCAGCCUGCUAAGCUGCAACUGACAUUGAGGCUCGAAAGUGU